CUAUUUGUGUCUUCAGGCUUUGUUGGGAAUGAAUACAUAUUGUUCUGCAAACACAUAUGGUCAAUUCCCAUCACCUCCUGAGGCAGACUAG
ensembl:miRNA gga-mir-1808 gga-mir-1808